UCUUGGUCAUUUAGAGGAAGUAAAAGUCGUAACAAGGUUUCCGUAGGUGAACCUGCGGAAGGAUCAUUACAGAGUUCAUGCCCUCACGGGUAGAUCUCCCACCCUUGAAUAUUUUAUACCUUUGUUGCUUUGGCGGGCCGCUUCGGCUACCGGCUUCGGCUGGUGAGUGCCCGCCAGAGGACCCCAAAUUCUGAAUUAAGUGUCGUCUGAGUACUAUAAAAUAGUUAAAACUUUCAACAACGGAUCUCUUGGUUCUGGCAUCGAUGAAGAACGCAGCGAAAUGCGAUAAGUAAUGUGAAUUGCAGAAUUCAGUGAAUCAUCGAAUCUUUGAACGCACAUUGCGCCCCUUGGUAUUCCGAGGGGCAUGCCUGUUCGAGCGUCAUUAUAACCCCUCAAGCUCAGCUUGGUGUUGGGGCCUGCCGCACGGGCAGCCCUUAAAAUCAGUGGCGGUGCCAUCUGGCUCUAAGCGUAGUAAUUCUUCUCGCUAUAGAGUCCCGGUGGAUGCUUGCCAUUAACCCCCAAUUUUCUAUGGUUGACCUCGGAUCAGGUAGGGAUACCCGCUGAACUUAAGCAUAUCAAUAA
rnacentral:rRNA from 1 species